GAGAAAAUUUGGUCAUUGGGCGAGAGCUUGACCCAGCCAAACCGCGUAAGGGAAGCCGGCCCUAGGGGUGUGAAAUUUCUUUUGUCCUGGAAAAAAAGCCUUUCCGUGUAUGUUAUUCAAUGUCCUUUCUGAAUAAGAAUCGCCCAACUCCGUCCCAGCAGCCGCGGUAAUACGGAGGAUGCGAGCGUUAUCCGGAUUUAUUGGGUUUAAAGGGUGCGCAGGCGGGAUUUUAAGUCAGCGGUGAAAUUUUCAGGCUCAACCUGAACACUGCCGUUGAAACUGGGAUUCUUGAGUAUGGAUGAAGUAGGCGGAAUUCGUUGUGUAGCGGUGACAUGCUUAGAUAUAACGAGGAACUCCGAUUGCGUAGGCAGCUUACUAAGCCAUAACUGACGCUCAAGCACGAAAGCGUGGGGAUCAAACA
rnacentral:rRNA from 1 species